rnacentral:rRNA from 1 species
CCUACGGGAGGCAGCAGUGGGGAAUAUUGCACAAUGGGGGAAACCCUGAUGCAGCGACGCCGCGUGAGUGAAGAAGUUUCUCGGUAUGUAAAGCCCUAUCAGUCGGGAAGAAAAUGACGGUACCUGUCUAAGAAGCCCCGGCUAACUACGUGCCAGCAGCCGCGGUAAUACGUAGGGGGCAAGCGUUAUCCGGAUUUACUGGGUGUAAAGGGAGCGUAGACGGCAGCACAAGUCUGGAGUGAAAUGCCGGGGCUUAACCCCGGAACUGCGUUGGAAACUGUGAAGCUAGAGUGCAGGAGAGGUAAGUGGAAUUCCUGGUGUAGCGGUGAAAUGCGUAGAUAUUAGGAAGAACACCAGUGGCGAAGGCGGCUGACUGGACUGUAACUGACGUUGAGGCUCGAAAGCGUGGGGAGCAAACAGGAUUAGAUACCCGGGUAGUC